rnacentral:rRNA from 1 species
GAUGAACGCUGACAGAAUGCUUAACACACGCAAGUCACUUGAAUUUGGGUUUUUUAACUUAGAUUUGGGUGGCGGACGGGUGAGUAACGCGUAAAGAACUUGCCUCACAGCUAGGGACAACAUUUGGAAACGAAUGCUAAUACCUGAUAUUAUGAUUAUAAGGCAUCUUAGAAUUAUGAAAGCUAUAUGCGCUGUGAGAGAGCUUUGCGUCCCAUUAGCUAGUUGGAGAGGUAACGGCUCACCAAGGCGAUGAUGGGUAGCCGGCCUGAGAGGGUGAACGGCCACAAGGGGACUGAGACACGGCCCUUACUCCUACGGGAGGCAGCAGUGGGGAAUAUUGGCAAUGGACCAAGAGUCUGAUCCAGCAAUUCUGUGUGCACGAUGACGUUUUUGGAAUGUAAAGUGCUUUCAGUUGGGAAGAAAAAAAUGACGGUACCA